CGUGUAGGCGGCUUGUUAAGUCUUGCGUGAAAUCUCGGGGCUCAACCCCGAGCGGUCGUGAGAAACUGGCAGGCUAGAGUGCGGGAGAGGAGAGUGGAAUUCCUGGUGUAGCGGUGAAAUGCGCAGAUAUCAGGAAGAACACCCGUGGCGAAGGCGGCUCUCUGGAACGCAACUGACGCUGAGACGCGAAAGCGUGGGGAGCAAACAGGAUUAGAUACCCUGGUAGUCCACGCCGUAAACGAUGGAUGCUAGGUGUGGGCGGUGUCGACUCCGUCCGUGCCGAAGCUAACGCAUUAAGCAUCCCGCCUGGGGAGUACGGCCGCAAGGCUAAA
rnacentral:rRNA from 1 species